CAACAGCUAGAGUUUGAUCCUGGCUCAGGACGAACGCUGGCGGCGUGCCUAACACAUGCAAGUCGAGCGGGGUUGAAGCGAGGGGUAACUCGAGUUUCUACCUAGCGGCGGACGGGUGAGUAACGCGUGGGCAACCUGCCUCAAGGACUGGGAUAACAGCUCGAAAGGGCUGCUAAUACCGGAUAAGCCUAUGGCCUCGCAUGGGGCCAUGAGCAAAGGGAAACCCGCCUUGAGAUGGGCCCGCGUCCCAUCAGCUAGUUGGUGAGGUGAAGGCUCACCAAGGCGACGACGGGUAGCCGGCCUGAGAGGGUGACCGGCCACACUGGGACUGAGACACGGCCCAGACUCCUACGGGGGGCAGCAGUGGGGAAUCUUGCACAAUGGGCGAAAGCCUGAUGCAGCGACGCCGCGUGAGCGAAGAAGGCCUUCGGGUUGUAAAGCUCUGUCUGGAGGGACGAAGGAAGUGACGGUACCUCCGGAGGAAGCCACGGCUAACUACGUGCC
rnacentral:rRNA from 1 species